rnacentral:lncRNA from 1 species
UUUUUUUUUUUUUGGAGGUGGAGUCUCACUCUGUCUCCCAGGCUGGAGUGCAGUGGCAUGAUCUUGGCUCACUGCAACCUCAGCCUCCCAGAUUCAAGCAAUUCUUUUACCUCAGCCUCCUGAGUAGCUGGAACUACAUGCGCACACCGCCAACCCUCGCUAAUUUUUUUUUUUUUUUUUGUAUUUUAAUAGAGAAGGGGUUUCAUCAUGUUGCACAGGCUGGUCUCGAAGUCCUUAGCUCAGGCAAUCUGCCCGCCUUAGCCUCCCAUAGUGCUAGGAUUACAGGCAUGAGCCACCACACCUGGCCUAUCACAACUUUUUAAAAGUGAAAAGAUAUGUACAUAGAAAUAUUCCUUACAUUUGUAUCUACAUUAUUAAAAACUGCAAACCAGCUGAAGUAUAAAUGGGGAAACAGUUUAACACACAUCAGUAAGACUGAAACUUGUUUAUGCUAAGACAGAAAAUAUAAAAUGAUGUGCGCUAGGAGAAUAACUAUUAAAUACAUGCCAAUUGGCCCAGUGUGGUGGCUCAUGUCCUCUAAUGCCAGCACUUUGGGAGGCCGAGGCGGGUGGAUCACCUGAGGUCAAGUGUUCGAGACCAGCCUGGCCAACAUGGUGAAACCCCAUCUCUAAUAAAAAUACAAAAAUUAGCUGGGUAUGAUGCUGGGUGCCUGUAGUCCCAGCUACUGGGGAGGCUGAGGCAGGAGAAUUGCUUGAACUCAGGAGGUGGAGGUUGUAGUGAGGCGAGAUGGUGCCACGGCACUCCAGCCUGGGCAACAGAGAGACACUCCAUUUCAAAAAAAAAAAAAAAUUUAUUGCCCAGAUCAACAAACUAAUUUUGUGCCAGUUGCCUUAAUGAAGAUAAAAUAAAUGAAAUAAACUACUAAAUUAAGUGCAAAGGAGCAGAAAAUCUAUUAAUUUGGUGAUUUUAUUAAGAAUGAUGAUAGCUAAUAUUCAUGGUGAGCUUGUUAUAAGCCACAUCCUAUCCUAAAUGUCUUACUUGUUUUAACUUCAUCCUCCCAACACUUCUGUGAGAUUGAUUCUAAAAUUCUCUUCACUUAGAAACAACUGGGGCCUAGAGAGGAGAUUUCUCUGUGCCAUGUGAUGCUGUUUCGUAGCAUUUUGCCCCCCAGUAGAGCUUCUUUCAAAAUUGGGGUCAAUCCUCUCAAAUCCCUUUGCUGCUUUAUCUACUAAGUUUCUACACGCUUCUGAAUCCUUUGUUGUCAUUUCAACAAUGUUUACAGCAUCCUCACCAGUGGAACCCAUCUCAGGAAACCACUUUCUUUGCUUAUCUGUUAAAAUCAGCUCCUCACCUGUUCACGUUUUAUCAUGAGAUUGUUGCAAUUUGGUCACAUCUUCAGGCUCCACUUCUCAUUCUAGUUCUCUUGUGAGUUCUGCCACAUCUGUGGUUGCUUUCUCCACUGAAGGCUUGAGCCCCUCAAAGUCAUCCAGGGUGGUUGGAAUCAAUUUCUUCCAAACUCCUGUUAAUGUUGCUAUUCUGACCUCCUCAUGAAUGUUCUUAAUGGCAUCUAGAAUGGUGACUCCUUUCCACAACGCUUUCCAUUUACUUUGCACAGAUCCAUCAGAAGAAUCACUAUCUAUGGCAGCUUUAGCCUCACAAAAUGUAUUUCUUAACUAAGAAGACUUGAAAGUCAAAAUCACUCCUCGAACCACGGGCUUCGGAAUGCAUGUUGUGUUGGCAGCGUGAAAACAGUAUUCCUCUCCUUGUGCAUCUCCACCAGAGAUCUUGAGGAGCCAGGUG